UUGACCUCAAAUCAGGUAGGACUACCCGCUGAUUAAGCAUAUCAAUAAGCGGAGGAAAAGAAACUAACAAGGAUUCCCCUAGUAACUGCGAGUGAAGCGGGAAAAGCUCAAAUUUAAAAUCUGGCGGUCUUUUGGCUGUCCGAGUUGUAAUCUAGAGAAGUGUUAUCCGCGCUGGACCGUGUACAAGUCUCCUGGAAUGGAGCAUCAUAGAGGGUGAGAAUCCCGUCUUUGACAUGGACUGCCAGGGCUUUGUGAUGCGCUCUCAAAGAGUCGAGUUGUUUGGGAAUGCAGCUCAAAAUGGGUGGUAAAUUCCAUCUAAAGCUAAAUAUUGGCGAGAGACCGAUAGCGAACAAGUACCGUGAGGGAAAGAUGAAAAGAACUUUGGAAAGAGAGUUAAACAGUACGUGAAAUUGCUGAAAGGGAAACGCUUGAAGUCAGUCACGUCAUCCAGAGAUCAGCCUUGCUUUUGCUUGGUGCACUUUCUGGUUUGAUGGGUCAGCAUCAAUUUUGGUCAUUGGAAAAAGGUCAGGGGAAUGUGGCAUCUUUGGAUGUGUUAUAGCCCUUGAUUGCAUACAAUGGCUGGGAUUGAGGAACUCAGCACGCCGCAAGGCCGGGUUUUAAAAACCACGUACGUGCUUAGGAUGC
rnacentral:rRNA from 1 species